rnacentral:rRNA from 1 species
UACGGGGGGGGCAAGCGUUGUUCGGAAUUACUGGGCGUAAAGGGCUCGUAGGUGGCCAACUAAGUCAGACGUGAAAUCCCUCAGCUUAACUGGGGAACUGCGUCUGAUACUGGAUGGCUUGAGUUUGGGAGAGGGAUGCGGAAUUCCAGGUGUAGCGGUGAAAUGCGUAGAUAUUCGGAAGAACACCAGUGGCGAAGGCGGCUCACUGGCCCGGUACUGACGCUGAGGUGCGAAAGCGUGGGGAGCAAACAGG